AUUGAACGCUGGCGGCAUGCCUUACACAUGCAAGUCGAACGGUAACGCGGGGCAACCUGGCGACGAGUGGCGAACGGGUGAGUAAUGUAUCGGAACGUGCCCAGUUGUGGGGGAUAACUGCUCGAAAGAGCAGCUAAUACCGCAUACGACCUGAGGGUGAAAGCGGGGGAUCGCAAGACCUCGCGCAAUUGGAGCGGCCGAUAUCAGAUUAGGUAGUUGGUGGGGUAAAGGCUCACCAAGCCAACGAUCUGUAGCUGGUCUGAGAGGACGACCGGCAACACUGGGACUGAGACACGGCCCAGACUCCUACGGGAGGCAGCAGUGGGGAAUUUUGGACAAUGGACGCAAGUCUGGUCCAGCCAUGCCGCGUGCGGGAAGAAGGCCUUCGGGUUGUAAACCGAGUUUGUCAGGGAAGAAACGCUCUGGGUUAAUACCUCGGGGUAAUGACGGUACCUGAAGAAUAAGCACCGGCUAACUACGUGCCAGCCGCCGCCGUAACAC
rnacentral:rRNA from 1 species